rnacentral:rRNA from 1 species
UACGUAGGUGGCAAGCGUUAUCCGGAUUUAUUGGGUGUAAAGGGCGUGUAGGCGGGAGCGCAAGUCAGAUGUGAAAACUCAGGGCUCAACCCUGAGCCUGCAUUUGAAACUGUGUUUCUUGAGUGCCGGAGAGGCAAUCGGAAUUCCGUGUGUAGCGGUGAAAUGCGUAGAUAUACGGAGGAACACCAGUGGCGAAGGCGGAUUGCUGGACAGUAACUGACGCUGAGGCGCGAAAGCGUGGGGAGCAAACAGG